rnacentral:rRNA from 1 species
ACGUACGCUGGCGGCACGCCUAACACAUGCAAGUCGAACGAAGUAGCAAUACUUAGUGGCAGACGGGUGAGUAACAUGUGGGUAUCUGCCCUUUGGCCUGGAAUAACACGAGGAAACUUGUGCUAAUACCGGAUAAGUCUUUACGGAGAAAGCUUUAUGCACCAUUGGAUGAGCCCGCACUUGAUUAGUUUGUUGGUGGGGUAAUGGCCUACCAAGACUGUGAUCAAUAGCUGAUUUGAGAGGAUGAUCAGCCACAUUGGGACUGAGACACGGCCCAAACUCCUACGGGAGGCAGCAGCGGGGAAUCUUGCACAAUGGAGGAAACUCUGAUGCAGCGAUGCCGCGUGAGUGAAGAAGGCCCUUGGGUUGUAAAGCUCUUUCGUCGGGGAAGAAAAUGACUGUACCCGAAUAAGAAGGUCCGGCUAACUUCGUGCCAGCAGCCGCGGUAAUACGAAGGGACCUAGCGUAGUUCGGAAUUACUGGGCUUAAAGAGUUCGUAGGUGGUUGAAAAAGUUAGUGGUGAAAUCCCAGAGCUUAACUCUGGAACUGCCAUUAAAACUUUUCAGCUAGAGUAUGAUAGAGGAAAGCAGAAUUUCUAGUGUAGAGGUGAAAUUCGUAGAUAUUAGAAAGAAUACCAAUUGCGAAGGCAGCUUUCUGGAUCAUUACUGACACUGAGGAACGAGAGCAUGGGUAGCGAAGAGGAUUAGAUACCCUCGUAGUCCAUGCCGUAAACGAUGUGUGUUAGACGUUGGAAAUUUAUUUUCAGUGUCGCAGCGAAAGCGAUAAACACACCGCCUGGGGAGUACGACCGCAAGGUUAAAACUCAAAUGAAUUGACGGGGACCCGCACAAGUAGUGGAGCAUGUGGUUUAAUUCGAAGAUACGCGCAGAACCUUACCAACACUUGACAUGUUCGUCGCGACUCUAAGAGAUUAGAGUUUUCGGUUCGGCCGGACGAAACACAGGUGCUGCAUGGCUGUCGUCAGCUCGUGUCGUGAGAUGUUGGGUUAAGUCCCGCAACGAGCGCAACCCUCACUUUUAGUUGCCAUCAUUAAGUUGGGCACUCUGAAAGAACUGCCAGUGAUAAGCUGGAGGAAGGUGGGGAUGACGUCAAGUCCUCAUGGCCCUUACGUGUUGGGCUACACACGUGCUACAAUGGUAUCUACAACAGGAAGCAAGACUGCGAGGUCAAGCAAAUCCUUAAAAGAUACCUCAGUUCGGAUUGCACUCUGCAACUCGAGUGCAUGAAGCUGGAAUUACUAGUAAUCGUGGAUCAGCGUGCCACGGUGAAUGCGUUCCCGGGUCUUGCACACACCGC